ensembl:lncRNA
GGGUUGGAGUUACCUACAGGGGGGUCUCUCUCCAGGAACAGGGUUGGAGUUAAAACCUACAGGAGGGUCUCUCUCCAGGAACAGGGUUGGAGUUACCAACAGGAGGGUCUCUCUCCAGGAACAGGUUUGGAGUUACCUACAGGAGGGUCUCUCUCCAGGAACAGGGCUGUAGUUACCUACAGGAGGGUCUCUCUCCAGGAACAGGAUUGGAGUUACCUACAGGAGGGUCUCUCUCCAGGAACAGGGUUGGAGUUACCUACAGGAGGGUCUCUCUCCAGGAACAGGGUUGGAGUUACCUACAGGGGGGUCUCUCUCCAGGAACAGGGUUGGAGUUACCUACAGGAGGGUCUCUCUCCAGGAACAGGGCUGUAGUUACCUACAGGAGGGUCUCUCUCCAGGAACAGGGUUGGAGUUAAAACCUACUGGAGGAUCUCUCUCCAGGAACAGGGUUGGAGUUACCUACAGGAGGGUCUCUCUCCAGGAACAGGUUUGGAGUUACCUACAGGAGGGUCUCUCUCCAGGAACAGGGUUGGAGUUACCUACAGGAGGGUCUCUCUCCAGGAACAGGGUUGGAGUUACCUACAGGAGGGUCUCUCUCCAGGAACAGGGUUGGAGUUACCUACAGGAGGGUCUCUCUUCAGGAACAGGGUUGGAGUUACCUACAGGAGGGUGUCUCUCCAGGAACAGGGUUGGAGUUACCUACAGGAGGGUCUCUCUCCAGGAACUGGGUUGGAGUUAAAACCUACAGGAGGGUCUCUCUCCAGGAACAGGGUUGGAGUUACCUACAGGAGGGUCUCUCUCCAGGAACAGGGUUGGAGUUAAAACCUACAGGAGGGUCUCUCUCCAGGAACAGGGUUGGAGUUACCUACAGGAG